rnacentral:tRNA from 1 species
GGGCGCGUAAUCUAGUCCGGGCUCAAAGAGGUAAAUCCCUUUGAAGCAAGAUGUCCCAGGUUCGAAUCCUGGCGCGCCCGCCA